AAUACUAGGUUGGUGCAAAAGUAAUUGCAGUUUUGCCAUCAUGCCAAAAGCCGCAAUUACUUUGCACCAACCUAAUAUU
rnacentral:miRNA from 1 species